rnacentral:rRNA from 1 species
GACGAACGCUGGCGGCGUGCUUAACACAUGCAAGUCGAACGGAAAGGCCCUUCGGGGUACUCGAGUGGCGAACGGGUGGGUAACACGUGGGUGAUCUGCCCUGCACUUUGUGAUAAGCCUGGGAAACUGUGGCUAAUACCGAAUAGGACCGCGCGCUUCCUUGUGGGUGGUGGAAAGCUUUUGUGGUGUGUGAUGGGCCCGCGGCCUAUCAGCUUGUUUGUGGGGUAAUGGCCGACCAAGGCGACGAAGGGUAGCCGGCCUGAGAGGGUGGCCGGCCACAAUGGGACUGAGAUACGGAGCAGACUCCUAUGGGAGGCAGCAGUGGGGAAUAUUGCCCAAUGGGCGCAAGCCUGAUGCAGAGACGCCGCGUGAGGGAUGACGGCCUUCGGGUUGUAAACAUCUUUAACCAGGGACGAAGCGCAAGUGACGGUACCUGGAGAAGAAGCACCGGCCAACUACGUG